CCUACGGGUGGCUGCAGUGAGGAAUCUUCCACAAUGGGCGAAAGCCUGAUGGAGCAACGCCGCGUGAAGGAUGAAGGCCCUCGGGUUGUAAACUUCUUUUAUAAGUGAAGAAUAUGACGGUAACUUAUGAAUAAGCACCGGCUAACUACGUGCCAGCAGCCGCGGUCAUACGUAGGGUGCAAGCAUUAUCCGGAGUGACUGGGCGUAAAGAGUUGCGUAGGUGGUUUGUUAAGUAGGUAGUGAAAUCUGGCGGCUCAACCGUACAGGCUAUUACC
rnacentral:rRNA from 1 species